rnacentral:rRNA from 1 species
UAGGGAAUCUUCGGCAAUGGGGGCAACCCUGACCGAGCAACGCCGCGUGAGUGAAGAAGGUUUUCGGAUCGUAAAGCUCUGUUGUAAGUCAAGAACGAGUGUGAGAGUGGAAAGUUCACACUGUGACGGUAGCUUACCAGAAAGGGACGGCUAACUACGUGCCAGCAGCCGCGGUAAUACGUAGGUCCCGAGCGUUGUCCGGAUUUAUUGGGCGUAAAGCGAGCGCAGGCGGUUUGAUAAGUCUGAUGUGAAAGCCUUUGGCUUAACCAAAGAAGUGCAUCGGAAACUGUCAGACUUGAGUGCAGAAGAGGACAGUGGAACUCCAUGUGUAGCGGUGGAAUGCGUAGAUAUAUGGAAGAACACCAGUGGCGAAGGCGGCUGUCUGGUCUGCAACUGACGCUGAGGCUCGAAAGCAUGGGUAGCGAACAGGAUUAGAUACCCUGGUAGUCCAUGCCGUAAACGAUGAGUGCUAGGUGUUGGAGGGUUUCCGCCCUUCAGUGCCGCAGCUAACGCAUUAAGCACUCCGCCUGGGGAGUACGACCGCAAGGUUG